UGGAAGUAAAAAGUCGUAACAAGGUUUCCGUAGGUGAACCUGCGGAAGGAUCAUUACCGAGUUCUGAGGUCUCUUCUCGAGCCUCAACUCCCACACCAUGUGUACCUUACCUUCUGUUGCUUCGGCGAGCCGCCCUGAAAAGGGCGCCAACCCCUCUCGCGGGUUGGAGCGUCUUGCUCGCCGGAGGACCAUGAAACUCUUGCUAAUUGAAUCGUCUGAGUAACGUUUUAAUAAAUUAAAACUUUCAACAACGGAUCUCUUGGUUCUGGCAUCGAUGAAGAACGCAGCGAAAUGCGAUAAGUAAUGUGAAUUGCAGAAUUCAGUGAAUCAUCGAAUCUUUGAACGCACAUUGCGCCCCUUGGUAUUCCGAGGGGCAUGCCUGUUCGAGCGUCAUUUCAAACCUCAAGCUUCUGCUUGGUAUUGAGCGUCCGCCUGCCCCGCAGGCGGUGCUCGAAACUCGUGGGCGGUAGAAGUCCAGCGUCGUAGCGUAGUCAUAACAAACUUCCGCUUCUUUGUCGCCUCUUCUGCUCGCCAGAGAACCUCUAUUCUUUUAAGGUUUGACCUCGGAUCAGGUAGA
rnacentral:rRNA from 1 species